CGAGGAUCUUCUGAUAUAUACACGUGUAGCCUAUCACAGAAGUCUGUGUGGUAGUGGUGCAGAUGGGUACCAGCAGCUGUGAAGGUUUUUCCCACUAGGCCCAAGAUGGUGAGAAACUCAUACAUGCAUUUGUUACAUC